rnacentral:rRNA from 1 species
UACAGAGGUCCCAAGCGUUGUUCGGAUUCACUGGGCGUAAAGGGUGCGUAGGUGGCCGGGUAAGUCUGACGUGAAAUCUCCGAGCCUAACUCGGAAACUGCAUCGGAUACUAUCCGGCUUGAGGAUUGGAGGGGGGACUGGAAUACUUGGUGUAGCAGUGAAAUGCGUAGAUAUCAAGUGGAACACCAGUGGCGAAGGCGGCUCACUGGUCCGGUACUGACGCUGAGGUGCGAAAGCGUGGGGAGCAAACAGG